AUACGUAGGGAGCGAGCGUUGUCCGGAAUUACUGGGUGUAAAGGGUGCGUAGGCGGGACUGCAAGUCAGAUGUGAAAUGCCGGGGCUCAACCCCGGAGCUGCAUUUGAAACUGUGGUUCUUGAGUGAAGUAGAGGUAAGCGGAAUUCCUAGUGUAGCGGUGAAAUGCGUAGAUAUCAGGAGGAACACCGGUGGCGAAGGCGGCUUACUGGGCUUUUACUGACGCUGAGGCUCGAAAGCGUGGGGAGCAAACAGGAUUAGAUACCCUGGUAGUCCACGCUGUAAACGAUGAUUACUAGGUGUGGGGGGACUGACCCCUUCCGUGCCGCAGUUAACACAAUAAGUAAUCCACCUGGGGAGUACGGCCGCAAGGUUGAAACUCAAAUGAAUUGACGGGG
rnacentral:rRNA from 1 species